rnacentral:rRNA from 1 species
GUGGGGAAUCUUAGACAAUGGGGGAAACCCUGAUCUAGCCAUGCCGCGUGAGCGAUGAAGGCCUUAGGGUUGUAAAGCUCUUUCAGCUGGGAAGAUAAUGACGGUACCAGCAGAAGAAGCCCCGGCUAACUCCGUGCCAGCAGCCGCGGUAAUACGGAGGGGGCUAGCGUUGUUCGGAAUUACUGGGCGUAAAGCGCACGUAGGCGGAUCAGAAAGUCAGAGGUGACAUCCCAGGGCUCAACCUUGGAACUGCCUUUGAAACUCCUGUUCUUGAGUUCGAGAGAGGUGAGUGGAAUUCCGAGUGUAGAGGUGAAAUUCGUAGAUAUUCGGAGGAACACCAGUGGCGAAGGCGGCUCACUGGCUCGAUACUGACGCUGAGGUGCGAAAGCGUGGGGAGCAAACAGGAUUAGAAACCCUGGUAGUCC